GUUGGGUAGGGGAGCGUUCUGUAAGCCGUUGAAGGUGGCCUGUGAGGGUUGCUGGAGGUAUCAGAAGUGCGAAUGCUGACAUAAGUAACGAUAAUGCGGGUGAAAAACCCGCACGCCGGAAGACCAAGGGUUCCUGUCCAACGUUAAUCGGGGCAGGGUGAGUCGACCCCUAAGGCGAGGCCGAAAGGCGUAGUCGAUGGGAAACAGGUUAAUAUUCCUGUACUUGGUGUUACUGCGAAGGGGGGACGGAGAAGGCUAUGUUGGCCGGGCGACGGUUGUCCCGGUUUAAGCAUGUAGGCGGAUGUUCCAGGUAAAUCCGGAACGUUAUUAACGCUGAGGUGUGAUGACGAGGCACUACGGUGCUGAAGUGACAAAUGCCCUGCUUCCAGGAAAAGCCUCUAAGCAUCAGGUAACAUCAAAUCGUACCCCAAACCGACACAGGUGGUCAGGUAGAGAAUACCAAGGCGCUUGAGAGAACUCGGGUGAAGGAACUAGGCAAAAUGGUGCCGUAACUUCGGGAGAAGGCACGCUGAUGGUAAGUGAAGCGACUUGCUCGUGGAGCUGAAAUCAGUCGAAGAUACCAGCUGGCUGCAACUGUUUAUUAAAAACACAGCACUGUGCAAACACGAAAGUGGACGUAUACGGUGUGACGCCUGCCCGGUGCCGGAAGGUUAAUUGAUGGGGUUAUCCUCGCGGAGAAGCUCUUGAUCGAAGCCCCGGUAAACGGCGGCCGUAACUAUAACGGUCCUAAGGUAGCGAAAUUCCUUGUCGGGUAAGUUCCGACCUGCACGAAUGGCGUAAUGAUGGCCAGGCUGUCUCCACCCGAGACUCAGUGAAAUUGAACUCGCUGUGAAGAUGCAGUGUACCCGCGGCAAGACGGAAAGACCCCGUGAACCUUUACUAUAGCUUGACACUGAACACUGGUCCUUGAUGUGUAGGAUAGGUGGGAGGCUUUGAAGUGUGGACGCCAGUCUGCAUGGAGCCAUCCUUGAAAUACCACCCUUUAAUGGCUGGUGUUCUAACGUGGGCCCGUAAUCCGGGUUGCGGACAGUGUCUGGUGGGUAGUUUGACUGGGGCGGUCUCCUCCUAAAGAGUAACGGAGGAGCACGAAGGUCAGCUAAUCCUGGUCGGACAUCAGGAGGUUAGUGCAAUGGCAUAAGCUGGCUUGACUGCGAGCGUGACGGCGCGAGCAGGUGCGAAAGCAGGUCAUAGUGAUCCGGUGGUUCUGAAUGGAAGGGCCAUCGCUCAACGGAUAAAAGGUACUCCGGGGAUAACAGGCUGAUACCGCCCAAGAGUUCAUAUCGACGGCGGUGUUUGGCACCUCGAUGUCGGCUCAUCACAUCCUGGGGCUGAAGUAGGUCCCAAGGGUAUGGCUGUUCGCCAUUUAAAGUGGUACGCGAGCUGGGUUUAGAACGUCGUGAGACAGUUCGGUCCCUAUCUGCCGUGGGCGCUGGAGAAUUGAGGGGGGCUGCUCCUAGUACGAGAGGACCGGAGUGGACGCAUCACUGGUGUUCGGGUUGUCAUGCCAAUGGCAUUGCCCGGUAGCUAAAUGCGGAAGAGAUAAGUGCUGAAAGCAUCUAAGCACGAAACUUGCCCCGAGAUGAGUUCUCCCUGACCCUUUAAGGGUCCUGAAGGAACGUUGAAGACGACGACGUUGAUAGGCCGGGUGUGUAAGCGCAGCGAUGCGUUGAGCUAACCGGUACUAAUGAACCGUGAGGCUUAACCUUACAACGCCGAAG
rnacentral:rRNA from 1 species